ensembl:lncRNA
UUAGUCAGAUUAAACCAGGUGACUGAUCAGCUGUUUAAAGGGUUUAAAUAUAUAUAUAUAUAUAUAUAAAUACACACACAUACCUACCAAUAAAGAAUAGAAUAAUAAAGAUUAUGUUCAUCCUCAGAUCAGCUCCUGGUGGAGAGAUUUCUUAGCCUCGGCAGUGCCCGGAAUGCAGCACUGAGCCAUCGUGUCUCAACUGUUCUCUACUUUUACAGCAUGACUUUAUUUUUCUACCAAAGAAAUGCUUAUUUUGACUGAAUUAGACGAAGCCUUAUAGAAGAAGUAGCCAUUUCCAGAGAAAUGAGGAACUUUGAACAAGGGUUUGUCAGAUGUCUUUUAGCAUUGACGAAACGUUUCUCUACAACGGCGGAAGAAGAACGUUUGUGGCUUCACGUGGUCAGUCACUUGUCAUGUGGUGCCCUAGAUGGAGCGGAAGGUCUCCUGUCCUUUAAUUAUAAUUUCUUUAUCUCUGGCCUUUUUUUUUCUUUUGCCAGCACACCAUGAAGAAUGUUUUCAUAUUUUUUAGGACAAUGAUGCAUUAUGGGUAGUGUUCAACACUUUACAUAAAUGGAAAUACACAAAAAAAAAAUAAUGUGCCACUUAAAAAUAAAAAUAAAAAAAAAACUUUUUUUUAACAAAGUUACUUGUUACUAAGUACUGUGUUACCGUUGUAACAGUACAAAUGCCACAGUGUAGAAGUACUUGGUUAAAGUGGGACAUUAUUAUUUUGCUUGUUGGUGUUUGAUUGAUGGAUGGUGAUUUCACAGUGAAGCUCUCUGAUUAGACAAUGACCUGGGACUAACAUGGCCAAAAGUGUGUGGAACCCCCCCAUUCCCUCUUAAACUGAUUAAACGUAUUGAUCAGAGAGUUACUGUGUGUUUAACAUGUGUGAGGGCUCCAACACAUGCUUAACCUUCUGUUUUUAGGGUUUGAUAACUUCAUUGUUAAAGCCUGCUGCGACCGGAUUGGUCGAUGCUUGUGUCCUAAUAUUGUUUGUGUGUAAAGUAGAAACACCAACGUUAUGAAUACUAAUUGAUUCGUUCGUGGUCGCUGGGCGGACCACAUGCUAUUGGCCAUGUGUUGUGUUGAUGUCCCAUGAUCCUCUGUAGCAGGAUGAAGUCCUGAGAAAAGAUAAAUCGUCUUACUCUUUUUCUAUCAGAUGUUUCUGUGUAUUUAAUCUCGAUAUAAUCUAUAAUAUUUUGUCCGGCUGAGGAGUCUUAAUGACGUCUCGUUUCUGUAGCCUAUCGUUGCUGUGCCCUCCCCAGCUGUGAUUGUUAGGGUGGUUUAUAGAUGUAAAGGGGCUUGCUUUUUAUUUUUCUGAGUUCUACGUGUCAUUUAC